rfam:Sarcophilus harrisii ctg7180002410913, whole genome shotgun sequence.
UCCGCCGCUGAUUGUCCAAACGCAAUUCUUGUGCGAGUCUGCAGCCAACCGAGAAUUGUGGCUGGACAUCUGUGGCUGA